UGCGGGGGCCUGUCUGAGCGCCCAGAGGCUACAAGGUGGCUGCUCCGCUCAGAGUUCUGGCUCACUGCUCUUUCUUUUCCUCGCGGCCCCUUCUUCCUCACCGUGUCUGCGGCUCUGACACUGCUGGCUGCCCCCAACCCCCACGUGAGGGUCAGGGUUAGCGCUGCUUCUGCAAAAAUGACAGGAGGAGAGACGAGGUCUAGGCUUUCAUUUGGGACUUAGGCUCGCAAAUCACGUAAGUUUAUGUGUUCAUUCUCUGACCUAGAAAAGCGGAGAAAAGAUGUUGCCCUGACACAAUUCGAAAACCUCCGAGGAAGGGAGAGAAACUAAGAUGGUGGCAUAGAUAAACACCGG